rnacentral:rRNA from 1 species
AAUGCUAAAAGAAUGGAAGUUUAAAAAAAAACUUUUUUAAAAAUAAAAAUUAAAUUUUUUUUAAUCUGUGCAAAAUCAAUUAUUUGUAUUAAAGACAAGAAGACCCUAUGAAUUUAUGAUUAAAUAAAUUAAAAAUUUUUAAUUUAUUUAAUCUUGAUUGGGGCAAUCAAAAAAUAUUAAUAACUUUUUUAAAUUUAAAUGAUCUAUUAUUAAUAAUCUAAUGAAAUAAAUACUCUAGGGAUAACAGCGUAA